rnacentral:misc_RNA from 1 species
GAUGAAGAACGCAGCGAAAUGCGGUAAGUAAUGUGAAUUGCAGAAUUCAGUGAAUCAUCGAAUCUUUGAACGCACAUUGCGCCCAUUAGUAUUCUAGUGGGCAUGCCUGUUCGAGCGUCAUUAAGUCCACUUAAGCCCUGCUUAGUGUUGGGAGACUGCUCCAGCGGUGCUACCCUGUAGCUACCCUGCAGCUCCUCAAAGACAGCGGCGGAGUUGUGGUAUCCUCUGAGCUUAGUAACUUGUUCUAGCUUUCGAGUACACCACUUCCCCUGCCGUAAAACCCUUAAUUUUUAAUGGUUGACCUCGGAUCAGGUAGGAAUACCCGCUGAACUUAAGCAUAUCAAUAAGCGGAGGA